ACAGGUGCUGCAUGGCUGUCGUCAGCUCGUGUCAUGAGAUGUGGUUAAGUCCCGCAACGAGCGCAACCCUUGCCUUUAGUUGCCAGCAGUUCGGCUGGGCACUCUAAGGAGACUGCCGGUGACAAACCGGAGGAAGGUGGGGAUGACGUCAAGUCAUCAUGGCCCUUACGGCCUGGGCUACACACGUGCUACAAUGGUCGGUACAAAGGGUUGCCAAGCCGCGAGGUGGAGCUAAUCCCAUAAAACCGAUCGUAGUCCGGAUCGCAGUCUGCAACUCGACUGCGUGAAGUCGGAAUCGCUAGUAAUCGUGAAUCAGAAUGUCACGGUGAAUACGUUCCCGGGCCUU
rnacentral:rRNA from 1 species